ensembl:rRNA 5S_rRNA 5S ribosomal RNA
GUCGAAGGCCAUACCACCCCGAAGGCGUCCGGUCUCCUCUGAUCUCGUGAAGAUAAGCAGGGUCUGGGCCAGACUGCUACUUAGAUGAAACGCCACUUGAGAAAACCAGGAGACGCAGGCU